rnacentral:rRNA from 1 species
GAUGAACGCUGGCGGCGUGCCUAACACAUGCAAGUCGAGCGGAGAUUUCAAGAAGUACUUGUACGGACGGAAAUCUUAGCGGCGGACGGGUGAGUAACACGUGAGCAAUCUGCCUUUUGCUGGGGAAUAACAUUGUGAAAACAGUGCUAAUACCGCAUGACAUCCGACCGGGGCAUCCCGGACGGAUCAAAGGAGAAAUCCGGCAGAAGAUGAGCUCGCGUCCGAUUAGCUAGUUGGUGAGGUAAUGGCUCACCAAGGCGACGAUCGGUAGCCGAACUGAGAGGUUGAUCGGCCACAUUGGGACUGAGACACGGCCCAGACUCCUACGGGUGGCUG